rnacentral:rRNA from 1 species
UACGUAGGUGGCAAGCGUUAUCCGGAAUUAUUGGGCGUAAAGCGCGCGCAGGCGGUUUCUUAAGUCUGAUGUGAAAGCCCACGGCUCAACCGUGGAGGGUCAUUGGAAACUGGGGAACUUGAGUGCAGAAGAGAAAAGCGGAAUUCCACGUGUAGCGGUGAAAUGCGUAGAGAUGUGGAGGAACACCAGUGGCGAAGGCGGCUUUUUGGUCUUUAACUGACGCUGAGGCGCGAAAGCGUGGGGAGCAAACAGG